CUAGACCAGGCUGGAUCGUUUCCUUGAGACAUAACUUUUGUGUUACAUUUCCAAAGGCUGGUUCUGUAGUUAAGAGACCUUUCAGCUUCUUUUCUUCGGUCACAGUGAACUAACUCUCUGGCACCCAUCCCCUUCUAUAUAUGCAAAGAAAAAUCAUAGUCUUCGCUUAUCUCUUUGCCUGCCGAAAAGAAUCUGCUACAGCUGAUCAUGGCCGGGAAUGUUCCUCCAACCAUCCUGUUUAAGGACAUAUGCUCCUUGGGGCGGAAAUCACACAUUGCCUACAUUGAAGAGAUGUCUACCGCUCUGCAGAGUCUUGGCGUUCCUGCUAGCGUGUUCCAGCCUGAAACCUAUCUGCUGCAUGGCUACUUUGAAGCUAUGUUCGCUAAGCUGCUCCGUCCUUUAAAGAACUACAAUGAUGCUGUUAAGUUAGAGCGUGUGCUGCAGAUCGGUAUCCAUCACCACCAUUUUGAUAGCUACCGCACUGCAUCACCCGACCAAUUCUACCAUUUCCUCCAGUUUUUGAGGACUCCCGCCGGUCAGAACGCCCUGUCUCUACUUGCUCAGCAGGAUCGGCUCGCCCGGAGGGGAGGGGAGUACUUUACCGCGCAGGAGAUGGGCUGGAUCGCCAUGUUUGAAGCCCAUCGCAAUGACCUCAAUGGGCGGCUAGACGAUGUUCGUCGUGAUCAUAAAGUUGUCAUUAAUGACCUUGAGCUUCAGCUGAGUGAAGCCCGUCACCAGCUUGAGACUGACUUGGCCCAGAUCAAGCGGAAGCACUUUCCUGCGAGUCUCUACGCGCCACUCUGCGAGGUCGACUUCAACAAGGCUUGUUGGACUGAGUACACGCUCGAAUGUCGUCGGCAGAAGCAGCUACCUGUUGUGAUCUCCCUUUCUUCCGCCCAUGAUGCUGAGAUGAAGUUUGGCGACCAGGUUGAGAAGCAACACGUUGUUGAUUUCCUCGAUGUCCGCAAUCGCAAGAAUCAGCUCCAGGAUUACAUCGGCCGACGGUCGACGAAAUAAAAUAUCUCCCCGUGGAUAUCAGUCUCAGUUUAAAAACAAAACACCACAUAUAAACAUUUUGAGCUAGGUUGGGGUUGUAGUCUUAGUCGCCCUGAAGCAAGUGCUCUUCUCCAUUUCAAACUUUUUCUUCUAAUGCUGACAUGAUUACAUGCUUUGCCUUCUAAUAGAUGCUACUUUGUUGGCGCAUGAGGUAUGAACUGAGCUAUUGCUAGAUUAUAGGUUAACGUUUGUUAGUCAUGUUGCACUGUUAUUUGCUAUGGUGUGCAUGGAUCUUAUAUCCCACAAACGAGUAUGAUGUGACCUAGUGUCUAAUUUAUAUGAUUUUUUGGGCUUGAUAUUAUGCUGAGUACUGGAUAAUGCAUUCUGUUAGUUGAUUUGUUUGACUGCAAUGUUUGAAUUUUUGUGCUAGUUGGAAUUGUCCAUCUAGUGUAUGAGAAUAGGGCAUUUGACUGCAAUGUUUGAAUGCAAUGCGAUUAUUAUGUAUAUACUGCUAUGUAUUUGAUUACUAAUAGAGAUCAAUGAUUGGGAAAAAUUUAGAUUUAUUUUUGGGCUACAUAUUGAUCAAUCCAAUCCAUUGACCAUUUGAAGUUUCGUCUCGGAACAGUUCAGUGAUUAGCGUAUGUUGAGGUUCGUAUCGUUAUAGCCUAGUUAAAUGUCUCUUAUAUGCUCCCCUAUGUGUAAAACGCCAGGCGAGCGUCUUUUGUCAACUAGAUAUGUAAAAAAUGAUAAUUCCAGUUAAUUUCAUUGAUUAUCUCUGGCGAUGACCGAUUUGAUUUUAUGGAAUUUUUUCACAGGUCAUCGAGGUAAAUCAGGAAGCGCAUGCGACGACCAGUCCAGAAGUCCAGCAUCCUUUGAUUAUACCUUCCAUUUGGAAGAAAAUUUCUUAUAAAUACAUUGUAGUUGAAGCUCAAAUCACGAGUACCUGAAUAACAACUUAGAUAUCGUAUCAAGACAUCAUAACCUUGGGGACAUUCAUUACCUAUGAUCAGUGAACAUUCAGUGCAGAACUACGUAAAGUAAUAGUCAAUAGAAAGAUUCAUGGUGAUAUACAGCAUCAAAUUACAAGUCUAAGCUUAGCGAGCGAGUAAAGCCUACCUCUCUGAUGGCCUAGCUCUAAGGGAUUUGACAAGUUUAGUUUUGUUUGCUUUUGUGGAUUGAUCUUGUUGCUUCGACAAUGGCAAGUGUUCUGGCAGCAUGUCUCAAGUCUCUAUGGGAUCCCAUGACUCACCAGCUUGCAUACAUUUUCUAUCUUGGUCGGAAAUUAACGGAACUUGAGAAGAACAAAAUGGCACUUGCCUCCGCUAAAGCUGAUGUUUUAGUGGAGGUAGAAAAUGCUAAGAUCAUAGGAUGCACUCCUACAGCUACGGUUAUCAAUUGGCUACGCGAAGCUGAUAAUGCAGUAGUUGAAGCUGAAGAUAUUUGUUCAAAUGCAAGAAGCAUAAUGGAAAAUAGUACAUGCUUCCGCAUCAAGAUAGUGAUGCGGUACAAGCUGGGGAAACAAAUCCUGAGGGCGAGUAAAUUUUCUUCUGAUGUCCAAGGGAGGAAACCAGGGGAUUUGUUUGUUCCUCCUCCACCAGUUGUCGUGCUACCUUUUCCUACGUCACUAAUAAAGAACAACACAUCCUCUUUUCGUACAUUAGAAAAGUUACGGAACUUCCUACAGGAUGAUAGCAUCGGAAAGAUUGGAGUUUGGGGCAUGGGGGGAGUUGGCAAAACUAGACUCUUGAGAAAUCUCAACAAUGAACUCCAAGAAACUAAGCGUUUUGAUGUCGUCAUCUUUGUAACUGUUUCAAAGAACUGGAAUAAGGACAUGCAAAAAUUGCGUAAUGAUAUUGGGAAGGAGUUGUACAUGGAACUGGAGAAGGACAAUGUAAGGGCCUCGAGGCUAUUGUAUAAGAGGUUAAUGCAGAAAAAGUUCUUGCUAAUUUUAGAUGAUGUUUGGGACAAGAUCAAUUUGGAAAAUCUGGGAAUUCCUUCUCCUACCGAACACAAGGGGUGCAAAAUAGCUAUAACUACACGUCAAAGGGGAAUUUGCAAUGAGAUGGAGACUGAUGUGGAAAUCAUGGUGGAGGCUUUGCCCGAUGAAGAGUCGUGGGACUUGUUUCAUGAGAAAGCAGGUGGAAAUAUCCCCACGACAAUUGAGAAUGUUGCUCGUUCAGUGUGCAGAGAGUGUUGUGGUUUGCCACUUGCAAUCAUCACUGUGGGAAGUGCUUUGAGAAAGGAAGUCCAUUUGGACCAAUGGAAGCGAGCUCUAAGGUUGCUUCAAAAAUCAAACUUUCGUUUUGAAAACAUGGAGGAUAGUGUUUUCGUACCACUGAAAUUCAGCUAUGAUAUGUUAAGAGAUGACCAACUUAAAAAAUGUUUUCUUUUUGUUGCGCUAUUCCCUGAAGACCAUGAGAUUGCAGACCAAGACCUGAUAGAGUACUGGGUAAUGGAAGGGUAUAUAGAAGGUGCUGAAAGCUUGGGAGAUGCUUAUCAGGAUGCUCAUCGACUUUUGAUAUUACUGAUCGACUCAUGUCUGCUAGAAAGGAGUAGAAAGAAAGACAUGGUAAAGAUGCAUGAUGUCAUUAGAGACAUGGCUAUAAAAAUUACUUCUGAUGGUACCGAAGAAGGUACAAAGUUUUGGGUAAAAGCUGGAAUGCGACUGGAGGAACUUGUCGAAACAGAGGAUUUGAAGGAUAAGGAUAAGAUUUCAUUGAUGGAAAAUAACAUACAAUUGAUUGGAGUUGAUUUAUAUUGCCCUAAUGCCUCCACUUUGUUGGUUAAAGGUAAUGUCAUGUUGUAUGAUAUACCAGAAAGAUUCUUUCAAUACAUGAAGCUACUUUCUGUUCUUGAUCUGUCAGCCACAAGUAUUGAGUUCCUUCCUGAAUCUAUUUCUGUGUUGGUCAACCUCAGUGCUCUCAUUCUCAAAGAGUGUGCCCGCUUAAAGAGAAUUGAUCGUGUCCAAUGUCUAAAGAAACUCAGGUUCCUUGAUAUGAGAGAAUCUGGAAUCAUUGAGCUGCCGGAGGGUAUUGUGCAUUUAACUGGAUUGGUUUAUUUUAAGAUAUCAUGCACCUAUCGCCUUCAGAAAAUCCCUGCUGGACUGAUUGCUCAGUUCUCUCACCUGGAAGACCUUGAAAUGAACCAGAGUUUUUAUUUAGAAGGAUUGAAGAACCCACAGGAAAUCAUUAAGCAGUUCAAGCAUUUGAAAAGUUUGAACAAUCUCUCACUUGAUUUAGAGAAUGAUAAACUUUCCUCUCUCCUUGAAACACACUGUAAUUUGAAUAAUCUAGCAAGUUUUUAUCUUAGAGUGGGGUCUGUUAUGGCAACGUCAAAGACUGAAUAUGUUGCGAAAAAAGAGGGGCCAAGAAAACCGGAAAGAAGAGGAAGAUGUUUAGACAUCACCGGUGAUGCCGCUUGCAAAAGACUUGCAAAAUUUGCAAACAAGCUUUGCGUCUAUCAGAACAGAAAACUCCGCUCAAUAUCUCAACUUGGGCUGGACAACCUUGAAUGCGUUGAAGAAUGUUGGGUGUGGGAUUGCCAAGAGAUGUGGAGUAUAAUUAUUUCUGAGGAGCAAAAGGAUAAUACUUAUCCACACUUGCAGCUCUUGCACCUUGAACGCCUUCCUAAACUAUCGAUUAUCUUUUCUUACAAUGUUGCUGCUGCUCCUAGCUUCUUUAAUCUGCGAAAAAUAAAUUUGUGCGAGUGUAACAUGAUACCAUUUGUCUUCCAAGAAGAAAUGAUCGAUCAGCUUGGUUGUCUAGAAGAAUUGGAUGUCUCUAGCUGUCGGAUCCUAAAAAGGAUAAUCGAGGGAUAUUUCAAGAGAGACGGAAUGUGUCUGCCCAAAUUACGGUGUAUUUCGUUCUCACAAUUGGGAAAGUUAGAACAGCUAUGGUUCAGCGAUCUGUCAUUGCCUUCCCUUGUUGAUAUCAAAAUCCAUCGAUGCCCUAACUUAAGGCCACCACGGCUAACCAAUGAGCUUGCACCAACUUUGCUAGUUAUUGAGGCAGAGGAGCAGUGGUGGGAAUCUUUGCCAGAAGAUGAAAUAUUUAAGUUACACUUUGCAUCUAUCUUGAAGCCAGUAACUGUUAGCUUCACACACAUCUUCACAUCCGUCCACGCUAGUUCUUCCCACUAGAAACCAGAUUUUGGAGGACAAUGGUGGCUUUGAUACCAAAUUUGUUGGGGACAGAAGCAUAAAAAUUUGAGGAAAAGAGAUUGUUUUAUUGAAAUGGAAGUUGCUAUCUCUUGCUCCCACACUGAUCUCAAGUGCUUGUCAUGUUCGAAUUUAUAAUGCAGAAUGGAAUUUGAUACAUUGACAUUAAAGCUAGUCAACCAUAUUAACUCUUGGCACCAACACAAGAUGUGGAGACCAGAGGAAGAGAAGUGGUCGUCAAUCCUCUACUUAUCAUACUCGCCAAUCAAGAAAGUUCCUAAAGUGUCAAUCCAAUCGGGAGAGGUCACUUGAAGUUUCUCCGUUUGAUAAUGAGGAAUUUAAUUACUUGAUUCUUGUGGCUGCAAGUUCAGAAAUUUCUCAGUACUCAAUUGUGAUACAUAACGACGGAACAUGCCACAUGGGAGUUGAUAAUUUACUUGUGUUGGAUUGUAUUAUAAAGACGGUAGAUGGUUUACGUGUCUGUACUAUAAUGUCUUGAGUCAAGAGUAUUGAGUCAAAUUUAAUUUUUUAAGUUUGCGUUUUGGAUUGAUGAUGAUUAUCGAACUUUGUAAUUGUCCAUUA